rnacentral:rRNA from 1 species
UUGGAGGGCAAGUCUGGUGCCAGCAGCCGCGGUAAUUCCAGCUCCAAUAGCGUAUAUUAAAGUUGUUGCAGUUAAAAAGCUCGUAGUUGAAUUUCAGGAUCAAUAUGCCGGUCAUGCCUUGGUAUGCACUGGUAUCUUUGAUUUCUCCCUUCUGACGAACUUUGAUGUCAUUAAUUUGGUGUCAUAGGGAAUCGGGACUGUUACUUUGAAAAAAUUAGAGUGUUUAGAGCAGGCUCACGCUUGAAUACAUUAGCAUGGAAUAAUGAAAUAGGACGUUUGAUUCUAUUUUGUUGGUUUCUAGGAUCGACGUAAUGAUUAAUAGGGAUAGUUGGGGGCAUUAGUAUUCAAUUGUCAGAGGUGAAAUUCUUGGAUUUAUUGAAGACUAACUACUGCGAAAGCAUUUGCCAAGGAUGUUUUCAUUAAUCAAGAACGAAAGUUAGGGGAUCGAAGACGAUCAGAUACCGUCGUAGUCUUAACCAUAAACUAUGCCGACUAGGGAUCGGAUGAUGUUAAUUUUUUAAUGACUCAUUCGGCGCCUUACGGGAAAC